GUGGGCGUGCCGGAGUGGUUAUUGGGCAUUACUAGAAAUCAUGUGGGCUUUGCCUGUGUAGGUUUGAAUCCUGCUGCUCACG
rfam:Ipomoea nil DNA, scaffold: scaffold2283, cultivar: Tokyo-kokei standard.